CAACUAAGCGCAUACGGUGGAUGCCUUGGCAGUCAGAGGCGAUGAAGGACGUUGUAGCCUGCGAAAAGCUUCGGGGAGUCGGCAAACAGACUUUGAUCCGGAGAUGUCCGAAUGGGGAAACCCACCUGGUGUAAGCCAGGUAUCUUUAACUGAAUACAUAGGUUAAAGAGGCGAACGAGGGGAACUGAAACAUCUAAGUACCCUUAGGAAAAGAAAUCAAUUGAGAUUCCCCCAGUAGCGGCGAGCGACCGGGGAACAGCCUGCAAGUGAUAGCUUGCGCGUUAGUGGAACGGUCUGGAAAGUCCGGCGAUAGAGGGUGAUAGCCCCGUACACGAAAACGCGCUUGUGGUACUAAGCUUGCGACAAGUAGGUCGGGACACGUGUUAUCUUGACUGAAUAUGGGGGGACCAUCCUCCAAGGCUAAAUACUCCU
rnacentral:rRNA from 1 species